rnacentral:rRNA from 1 species
UACGUAGGGUGCGAGCGUUGUUCGGAUUCAUUGGGCGUAAGGGGUGCGUAGGCGGCGCGGUAAGUCGGGUGUGAAAUCUCGGAGCUUAACUCCGAAACUGCAUUCGAUACUGCCGUGCUUGAGGACUGGAGAGGAGACUGGAAUUUACGGUGUAGCAGUGAAAUGCGUAGAUAUCGUAAGGAAGACCAGUGGCGAAGGCGGGUCUCUGGACAGUUCCUGACGCUGAGGCACGAAGGCCAGGGGAGCAAACGGG